GAUGAAAGGAAACAGGCAGCCUAGCCUUGGGAAUUCUAAGUUGCAAUGGAAAAAAGAGCAGUCCCAACUCUUAUCCACUUUCCUGUUGCAUGUGCUGGCCCUGUUGGGGUGGGCUGUUCACUGGGGGUUUGUUGACUUUUUGCUUCUGCUAACUGUUCACAGGAAAAAAUCAAAGCAGAAUCUCUGUGUUUUAAAAAGUACUUAGCUAAAGUAUGCAGCAAAUCUCUUUCUUCUGCCCCAUGGGGGACUGGCAAGUCCAGUGCCCAGUGGAAGCAAAGUCUCUGCACAAAGAGGUGAUGCCUUCACCCUGCAGGGCUCCUGGGGACCCCCUGGGGGAGGGACAAAUUUGGGGAACAGCAGCUGCUGAAGGCCAAGCUCCAGUGAUCUUCAGUUCUUGCUCACUGCAGAUCAAAGAAGUCUUGCUGUGUCCAGAUCACAUAAAUAUUGAAUAAGGCUGCUUGGAAUCCUUAAAAGAGUUUGGAGAGGAGGAGGAGUCCAGUGCAGAAGAUGGUAUCAGAAAAUGCUGACCCUCAGCUAAGAGCUAAUACAAAAGUCAGCAACAAAGGAAUGAGAAUGGAUCCUAUCAGGCAUGGCUUCUAUUUUCGGCUUGGAAUUUGCACACGCAUUGCUUUUAAGAGCAACCCGGUGGCGGAGGGAGACCUUCGGCGGCGCGGAGCUCUGUGUGCGGCCAGCAUUGGUUGGCUCCCAGCUCUGGGUGUCUCGGGUCACCUGAGUGCAACCCGUGAGAAGAGACAAGACCACCCAGAUGAUAUGGCCAAGCACACCCCCGCUGAGGCUGUGCGCGUCUGUGCCCCGGGCAAAGCUGGCUCGCUUCCUAGUGGUCCGCCCUGCCAGUUAUUUCAUGGCAGCCUCUUCAUUUGUAAAAGGGCCUUAAUAAUAGCUAAUCACGGGUCGUCCACGAGGCCACGCUGAGAUGAUGCAGGAGUGCAGCCAACACGGUGCCUGGCACGCGAUGCCGCUCUCGGUGGCUAAGUGGCCAUUGCUGAUGCUGCUGUCACUGUGGUCCCAUCCCCCUCACAGUACUACUGGCUCUCACAUGUAGGGGACGCAGAGCAGAGCAGCGUCCUGAGCACCACAGGAGUUCUAACCAUGACUUGCAUUUUUUAUAAUUCUGUUUUU
rnacentral:lncRNA from 1 species